CGGUAAUUCCAGCUCCAAUAGCGUAUACUAAAGUUGUUGCAGUUAAAAAGCUCGUAGUUGGAUUUCUGCGGGGACGGAGCGGCCGGUCGCAACUUGCGACUCGAGCUAGCGCUUUCCCCGCAUCCUGCCGCGAACCGUGCUACCAUUAGCUUGGUGGCGCUGGGGAUCGGCUCGAUUACUUUGAGAAAAAUAGAGUGUUCAAAGCAGGCCACACGCCUUGAAUAAGUUAGCAUGGAAUAAUGACUAAGGACUUCGGUUCUAUUUUGUUGGUGUUCGGGACUGAAGUAAUGAUUGAUAGGGACAGUUGGGGCGGUCUGUAUUCCAAAGCGAGAGGUGAAAUUCUUAGACCUUCGGAAGACAAACAGCUGCGAAAGCGUUCCGCAAGGAUGUUCCCUUUGAUCAAGAACGAAAGUUGGGGGAUCGAAGACGAUCAGAUACCGUCGUAGUCUCAACUAUAAACUAUACCAGCUAGGGAUCGGUCAACGUUUAAUCAUUCGACUUGAUCGGCACCUUAUGAGAAAUCAAAGCAUCUGGGUUCCGGGGGGAGUAUGGUCGCAAGGCUGAAACUUAAAGGAAUUGACGGAAGGGCACCACCAGCCGUGGAGCCUGUGGCUUAAUUUGACUCAACACGGGAAAACUUACCAGGUCCAGACAUAGUAAGGAUUGACAGAUUGAUAGCUCUUUCUUGAUUCUGUGGGUGGUGGUGCAUGGCCGUUCUUAGUUGGUGGAGUGAUUUGUCUGGUUAAUUCCGUUAACGAACGAGACCCCAGCCUGCUAAAUAGCGCGGUUGAGCUUUGCUCGAUGCGAGCUUCUUAGAGGGACUAUGAUGCGCGAUAGCACAUGGAAGUUUGGGGCAAUAACAGGUCUGUGAUGCCCUUAGAUGUUCUGGGCCGCACACGGGCUACACUGGCGCCUGCAACGAGCAUAUCAGCUGGCCCGAGAGGGUCUUGGCUAAUCUUUUGAACCGGCGCCGUGCUUGGGAUUGACCAUUGCAAUUGUUGGUCAUGCAACGAGGAAUGCCUUGUAAACGCGAGUCAUCAGCUCGCAUUGAAUACGUCCCUGCCCCUUGUACACACCGCCC
rnacentral:rRNA from 1 species